rnacentral:rRNA from 1 species
CACUUGAGGUGUGCCAGCCGCCGCGGUAAUACGUAGGGGGCAAGCGUUAUCCGGAUUUACUGGGUGUAAAGGGAGCGUAGACGGCUGUGCAAGUCUGAAGUGAAAGGCAUGGGCUCAACCUGUGGACUGCUUUGGAAACUGUGCAGCUAGAGUGUCGGAGAGGUAAGUGGAAUUCCUAGUGUAGCGGUGAAAUGCGUAGAUAUUAGGAGGAACACCAGUGGCGAAGGCGGCUUACUGGACGAUGACUGACGUUGAGGCUCGAAAGCGUGGGGAGCAAACAGG